AUCGUACCACCGUAAAGGCCACCGGAACACCCUGGAGUUAAAGGGUUACCGAUAACCUAUAACGACGUCUAGAUGCCUUCAUGGACUAGUUAAAAUCUGGUUAAAAUGCCAGUGCCUAAACAGCAACACUUUAAGUGGAAGUCGUGAAUACCACGAGCGCCUCCGCUCUCACACCCUGGUAACUGUCGCUAUUUGGAGACCGCAAGAGCGGCCGAAGCGACAAGCGAGUGAGCGGCCGACAUGCCAGUCGAUAUAUCGAUCGUCGAAAUUGUGCCGCGAAUAGAAAGCGUCGUUCCCUGGAGUGGCCACUCUUGAAGGAGGAGGCUCAAGCCCGUGGGACCAAGCCAGGGUGUAGAGCAGAGUGUGUUAGGGUGCCUACUGUACGAAGCCAGUACCUAGGCAAUACGAAGGGGUUGAGGAAGAUAAGUAUCUCUCAGCUAUAUGCGCGUCGCGUUACAAUGUCCGCAAUUACGAUCGUUAGAAGUCGCUACGAGCUAAGAAAAGGAGUUCACGAGGAUCCCGAUUUCAGUCCGUGAGUAGAAAUCCUUUUAUUUUCCACAGACGUAUUUUUUCUCUUCUGUUUACAGGAUUACCAAUAGUCGUAGAGAAUUUUCAAACGAAUCUAACACGAAGCGUGUGACUUGCUGUACCACGAAUGGCUGAUACGGCUAAAGUGGCGUCGCCUAGUGUCGAUCCUGCGUAUUAAUUAGGUAUCGCCACAUCGGUCCCUUACCGAGUGGCAGGCUUGGCGCCACUUGAUUCCCAGAAUCUGAUGAAACCUUGGAGACGUAAUAUACCGGUAACGAGACAUUGAGUACUGUUUCCGUCGCAAUCAGGUCAUCGAGUCUAUACUGAGAAGAGUACUGUCGGGUAGCUUCAUGCUCCUUCACAGAUCCAUCUCACUCCGCAUUCUGCCCCAGUAACGACCGCAGUCUAUGCGUCGUACCCUUGCUGACGUCAUUUCCAAGAGGCUGACAACUUUGUCAUCGAUUUAAUAUCUUUUAACGAAUACCCCAUUUAUAGAAACAAAAGACACGCAAGGGUCCUUUAAGGUUAGUCCCAAUAGCCACAUAACCCUCAUCACUCUAUACCAACAAUAAAGUAAGUCUCUAUAAUUUUACAAUCGUCCUUUAAAUCUCUGUCUCACGAAGUAGUCUCUCUUCAAGUCAAACCGGAUCUUCUUACUUUUUGCAUCUUUCCGUAAAUUAGAUUCCUGAAACCGCUGUCAGAUAGCACUUAUAUACAGAGGCAGUUUUCCGCGAACGUCAGCUGGGGUUUGCUACGUAUGUAGCUAGGUACUGGCUGUCUGGUAGGUAUGUAGGUGGUGCCUAGGUGGAAAGGUAGGUAGGCCAGAAACGUAGCCGUAGCAGCCGAGACUUGCUGAGGAGCAUUUGAGAUGGUUGAAGACGAUGCACGAUAAGCACGCUUCGUCUCUCUUUCUUCUGACCUCAUACCCUCUCUGUGCCUUAUCCUUCCUUCCUCCCAGUCCUCAUCCGCGACUCCCACAUGACGGUGCAACCUUAACCUCUCUUUCUCUCCCGCACGACCUAAUAGAACCUUCUAGCUGUUUCCUAGCGAUUGCCAAUUGUCGUGUGACUGCCGACAUAGGCGCUUAACAAGGUUACAAUUGUCUAUCCGUUUUUGUAUAGCCUUAUCUUGCGGUAUUUAAGAAUUCUUUUCUUACACGCCUUGCCAUUUUAUUAUUGUAUAUAAUAUUGCUCGAUACUUUUCAGUUAUCGACUAAUGAAUAAAUAUAAUUUAUACUAUA